UACGAAGGGGGCUAGCGUUGCUCGGAAUUACUGGGCGUAAAGCGCACGUAGGCGGUCUUUAAGUCGGGGUGAAAUCCUGGAGCUCAACCCCAGAACUGCCUUCGAUACUGGAAGACUUGAGUCCGGGAGAGGUGAGUGGAACUGCGAGUGUAGAGGUGAAAUUCGUAGAUAUUCGCAAGAACACCAGUGGCGAAGGCGGCUCACUGGCCCGGUACUGACGCUGAGGUGCGAAAGCGUGGGGAGCAAACA
rnacentral:rRNA from 1 species